rnacentral:rRNA from 1 species
CCUACGGGAGGCAGCAGUGGGGAAUAUUGGGCAAUGGGAGGAAUCCUGACCCAGCGACGCCGCGUGAACGAUGAAGGCCUUAGGGUUGUAAAGUUCUUUUAUGUGGGAAGAAGGAAGUGACGGUACCACAUGAAUAAGCCCCGGCUAACUACGUGCCAGCAGCCGCGGUAAUACGUAGGGGGCGAGCGUUGUCCGGAAUUACUGGGCGUAAAGGGCACGCAGGCUGUGAUUCAAGUCAGCUGUAAAAGGAUGCGGCUUAACCGUGUUUAGCAGUUGAAACUGGAUGACUGGAGUGCUGGAGAGGCAAGUGGAAUUCCCAGUGUAGCGGUGAAAUGCGUAGAUAUUGGGAAGAACAUCGGUGGCGAAGGCGACUUGCUGGCCAGUAACUGACGCUGAGGUGCGAAAGCCAGGGUAGCAAACGGGAUUAGAUACCCCAGUA